rnacentral:rRNA from 1 species
AGAAUGAACGCUGGCGGCGCGCCUAAUACAUGCAAGUCGAGCGAGAAGACGUAGCAAUACGUUUGUAAAGCGGCGAACGGGUGAGGAAUACAUGGGUAACCUACCCUCGAGGUGGGGAAUAACUAGCCGAAAGGUUAGCUAAUACCGCGUACGCUUCUUGGACUUCGGUUCAGGGAGGAAAGCGAUGCCGAAGGGUAUCGCGCU